rnacentral:tRNA from 9 species
GCCGGGAUAGCUCAGUUGGUAGAGCAGGGGACUGAAAAUCCUCG